rnacentral:miRNA from 2 species
CCUGUGGGCCACCUAGUCACCAA